rnacentral:rRNA from 1 species
CAGUAGCCGCGGUAAUACGUAGGUGGCAAGCGUUGUCCGGAAUUAUUGGGCGUAAAGGGCUCGCAGGCGGUUUCCUAAGUCUGAUGUGAAAGCCCCCGGCUCAACCGGGGAGGGUCAUUGGAAACUGGGAAACUUGAGUGCAGAAGAGGAGAGUGGAAUUCCACGUGUAGCGGUGAAAUGCGUAGAGAUGUGGAGGAACACCAGUGGCGAAGGUGACUCUCUGGUCUGUAACUGACGCUGAGGAGCGAAAGCGUGGGGAGCGAACAGGAUUAGAUACCCCGGUAGUCCCUGUCUCUUAUAC